rnacentral:rRNA from 1 species
CAAUAGCGUAUAUUAAAGCUGUUGCGGUUAAAAAGCUCGUAGUUGGAUUUCUGUCAAGGACAACUGGUCCGCCCUCCGGGUGAGCACAUAGUUUGGUCUUGACAUCUUGCUGGAAGCUGUUGCUGCACUUGGCUGUGUGGCGCAGUGUUCAGCACUUUCACUUUGAGGAAAUUGGAGUGUUUCAAGCAGGCACAUGCCUUUGGACACAGUAGCAUGGAAUAAUUAGAUUGGGCUUUUGCUCCAAUUUGUCGGUUUCUGGAGCUGAGGUGAGUAUUAAUGGGGAUUGUUGGGGGCAUCCGAUUUUAGCCGUCAGAGGUGAAAUUCUUGGAUCUGCUAAAGACGGACAACUGCGAAAGCGUUUGCCCAGGAUGUUUUCAUUGA